CUCAAUUAUCCAAUCAAACACAAACACGUAAACCAGCAAUGGACACCAAACAAGGCAACACAACAUCGGGUUCACAAUAAUUCAAAGCAUAAUAAAUGAAACCGUGAUUCAUGCAUAUGAAACCAUAGAAUAAACACAUCAGGUACCAUACUGCAUUCAAAACUGUAAAAUAAAUCAAACAAUACCUGAUCGAAAAUAUAUCAGAUUCGGGCUCCAUU
rnacentral:lncRNA from 1 species